rnacentral:rRNA from 1 species
AGCGAACGCUGGCGGCAGGCCUAACACAUGCAAGUCGAACGAACUCUUCGGAGUUAGUGGCGGACGGGUGAGUAACACGUGGGAACGUGCCUUUAGGUUCGGAAUAACUCAGGGAAACUUGUGCUAAUACCGAAUGUGCCCUUCGGGGGAAAGAUUUAUCGCCUUUAGAGCGGCCCGCGUCUGAUUAGCUAGUUGGUGAGGUAAAGGCUCACCAAGGCGACGAUCAGUAGCUGGUCUGAGAGGAUGAUCAGCCACAUUGGGACUGAGACACGGCCCAAACUCCUACGGGAGGCAGCAGUGGGGAAUCUUGCGCAAUGGGCGAAAGCCUGACGCAGCCAUGCCGCGUGAAUGAUGAAGGUCUUAGGAUUGUAAAAUUCUUUCACCGGGGACGAUAAUGACGGUACCCGGAGAAGAAGCCCCGGCUAACUUCGUGCCAGCAGCCGCCGCGG